rnacentral:lncRNA from 1 species
CUGAGCUAGGUGCAAGUUAAGUGUGGCAGGAAGGUAACCAGUGGUAAUCAAAGGGCCAGUGAGGCUGCAGCCUGGAAAACAUGGAGCGUUGUACCAAAGGAUGAGGUUGUGAAGGGCAUUGGAAUAGACAAACUUCCUCAUUGUAGAUCCAAGAGGAGUGGGAAAGAAAAAAAAUAUCAGGUAAAAAAGUCAAAAUACUGUCAUAUACC